rnacentral:tRNA from 1 species
GCUAGCGUAGCUCAACGGCAGAGCUCCUCAUUUGUAAUGAGGGGGUUGUGAGUUCGAAUCUCACCGCUAGCUCCA